CUUUCUCUCUCAACGGAAGGAACCCAUCUUUCUCUCUUUGGUCACCCUUUAUUCUCCCUCUUAGACAACCUCUCCCGCCGCUACAACCACCGCCUCUCACCGGCCGUUUUCUCUCUCACAUCUCACACCACUCAUCCACUGCUCUCUUGUCGAUCUUAGUUCCGUUCGUCGUCCUCCAUUCUCCUCUCACCUUUGUCCUCUGUUCUCCUCACAAGACACUGUUUAUGCGUUUAAAUUUUUCCAUAUAUGAGUUGUUUCAAUUGAGUUGGUGGGCUUGAAUACUUAAUGUUGUUCCAAUUUUGAGUAGCUGGAUUUGAUUUGCUUUUAUGGUGAGGUUGUGUUGGCUAGUGAGAAGCAGAGGGUGGGGUGACGGUGGUGGUGAGGGAUGGUAGAGAGAGAAAAGAGAGAGGGUGAGGCAGCAAGGAUGACGGUGGUGGUUGUAGCAACUGUGAGUGGUGCGAGACGGUGGAGAGAGAAGACGUGAGAGGGUCAAGGGAAUGAGUUGAUACAUAAGGGAGAAUUGUGUGUCUUACAAAUUUUCCCCUGAUUUUUAGUUGUUGGACAAAAUUGCCCCCAGAUUAAUUAAUAAAAAAAGCCACAUAGAGGGUGUACAAUAGGGGUAUGCCACAUGGGGAUGUCCUUGUAUCGUUGCUUUUAAAGAUAGGAUUAGAUUUACACAUUUUGCCACUUUAUUUUUCAACAAAUGAAUUUCGAAUUGCCACAUUUUUAAAGGAGUGAAUACCCAAAUUUGUCUCUGACUUUGCACGAAUCGGACAAAAGUGUCCCAUAAUUUAUCGAAAUGCACACUUUGUCCCUAAAUUUAACAAACGUCCAUCAAAAUAGUCCUUCCGUCCAAAUGCUCCGUUAGUGUUGCUCAGCUGUCGUCCUACAUGUCCUGUUGUCUUGAAUACGUGUCUACAAGGACCAAUUUGAUGGAAACGCUAAAAAUUUCAGUUUUGCUUUUUAAAUUCAAUUUUUUCUAUUUUUCCAAAUUUACCCCUUUAUUCCCCAUACAUUUCCAUCCUCACAUUUCAGUCAGAACAUCAAACACGUCUCUGACCUUUCUUCUUCUCGCUAAAACCUUCAUCAUCAUCAUCUACGGUGAGGAACAUUGCAAAAGAUUUCGUUAUGACAUACAAUUUCGUCGUUUCUUAAGUCUUAAAAUACAGAAAAUGUUGGAGGUGUUGCAGAAAAUGUUGGAGGUGUAUCAGGAAAUGCAGAAAAUCUUGUUGCUGAAAAUGAUGGACAAGUUGCACAAAAUGUUGAAAAUGUCAAUGUUGGAAGUGUUGUUACUGGAAAUGUUGCAAUUCAGGGACAAAAUGUUGUCAAUGGUGUUGCAAAUGAAGUAGUGCUUGGACAGGUGUUCCUCCAUGGAGGUAUGACAUAUUAGAGGGCCAAUUAUUUCAAAUGAGAGGCCUAAACAAACACCAAUGAGAAGCCCUACACCAGCACAUCCAACUGCUCCUGGAGUUAUUAAAGUACCAUAUCCAAAUUAUGGUCCAUCCGGUUUAACUCAACCUAAGUUCAUGGAGUUUAUCCCAAAUCCCGGCUUUCCAAAGAAGUGAUACUUUAUGCAUGUUUAAAUUAUGUUUUUGGAACUGUAAUAUUUCGACUUGUUUAAAUUAUGCCCCCUAGAUGAGUUUCUUUUUUGGCUAUGUAAUAUUUAAGAACAUCCUUCUAUGACU